GCGCCUGUAAAGUUUAUGUUUUCAUCCCCCACUCUAUUCAUAACAGCCAGAGGAUGUUCGGAAUUAAAACAUACAAAGGUGCUUUGUUACAUCUGCCGGCGUUUUUCAACUCGUUCAAGCUGCGACGCAAAAGAAACCACGAAAAGUGCUCUCUACCAACAGAUGAGAACAGGGUAGCAUCAAAAAGAUGCUUGCAGACGUGCAAAAUGAAAAGCGAGACCCGUUUAAACUAAAACGAACAAAGAUAGAAAUAAAAACCAGUUUUAAUGGGACUAAUGAUAAUAUAGUCGUUUCUCUCGCACGCAUCUACCAGCCACCUGAGGUAGAUUGAAUUCUAUAGGGCGAGCAAAAAGAGAGUUGCAAAGUAGCAACGCUAAACGACAAAAAUAACGGUCAAAGCUAUACAAACAACAUCAUACAGCCUGCCUUAAAAAAAAAAAAAAAACGGCACAACCUAAGGCAUGAGUUUUGUUUUUCUAGUACUUUAUAAACUGCAGCAUAUAACUACUUUAAAAUAAUAUCUACAUAUGUGUUCAUCGAGACGGCAAGAGGUAGUAUUUUUAGCAAUGAUAAUAUAGAUAUAAGUGUACAAAUUUAUACUGUUAAUUUCAAGCUUCGAGCUUUAAGCUAUCGAACGGGUGUAAAAGGCAAGACACGAAAUUUUAUGUCUGGUGAGGACCGAAGCAAAGCAACAGACGAGGUAGCAAAGACAGCUGAAAUAAAGCAGCACAAAAAAAGAGCGGCAACUUGAAUGCUGCACACGCAUACACGCACAUAGACUUUUGCGCAAUUGGGUUGUCGUCCGCAUACACUCAACGCAAUACUCCGCCGCUACACACACACACAAAUAAUUCAUGUUGCCGUUUGCCGGCCGGAGAAAGAGCGAGAAGGCACCAUGACGCCGCGCCAAAUUAAACGGCGUCGGUUUUUGCGCGCACACCGUUUUGCCUUUGGCGGGAACGAGACAACUACAUUAGUGCCGAGAAGCGUUUUGCGUAUAUAGACACAGAAUUCAAAAGAAAAUUUCCAAAUGUUUGCGGCAAAUAACAUAGAUUUUCAUUUGCAAAAUUCGCUACAAGUCCAUUGCUUAAACAAAAUCCAAAAACGUCCGAAAACAAGGCAAACAAAGUACUCACUUCUUUUGAUCAGCCACAUCAGCCAUUUUGAAUUACUGUUAGAUAUAACUUUUCAAAGGCAAAGCGAGAAAACACGUUGUAAUUGAGGGUUUUUGGAUCACCAAGCACGACUUGAAUAUCAGCACAAAGAUUUCAAAGAACCAAAUUCAAUGUAGUUUCCUCUUUGGUAGCUUUGCUAAGAAAGUCGCUUAGUUUCUGGAGAUUUUGCCGUACAAAUAAGAACGUCCACACAGUCA